rnacentral:rRNA from 1 species
UACGAAGGUGGCAAGCGUUGUUCGGAUUUACUGGGCGUAAAGGGAGCGUAGGUGGUUAGGUAAGCCCUCCGGGAAAUCUUCAGGCUUAACCUGAAAAAGGUCGGGGGGGACUGCCUAGCUAGAGGGCGGGAGAGGAGCGCGGAAUUCCCGGUGUAGCGGUGAAAUGCGUAGAGAUCGGGAGGAAGGCCGGUGGCGAAGGCGGCGCUCUGGAACGUUUCUGACACUGAGGCUCGAAAGCGUGGGGAGCAAACAGG